rnacentral:tRNA from 1 species
GGGGAAGUACUCAAGAGGCUGAAGAGGCUUUCUUGCUUGCUAGCAGGGAAGUAGGUCGUUAGCAAGUCUUUUGGUCUUAAACUGCGGCGCGGGGGUUCAAAUCCCUUCCUUCUCCA